GGGUCAGUAGGUUGGUCGUGCCACCGGUACGUACUGGUCUCACUGAUUCCUCCUUCCUGAAGAACCGUAAUGCCACUAAUUUGGUGUUGCGGGGAAACAGGACUGUUACUUUGAAAAAAUUAGAGUGUUUAAGGCAAGCUAACGCUUGAAUACAUUAGCAUGGAAUAAUGAAAUAGGACGAUCGAUCCUAUUUUGUUGGUUUCUAGGAUUGACGUA
rnacentral:rRNA from 1 species